rnacentral:tRNA from 3 species
GGAGAGAUGGCUGAGUGGCUUAAGGCAACGGUUUGCUAAAUCGUCGUACGUGUAAAGCGUACCGGGGGUUCGAAUCCCCCUCUCUCCGCCA